AGGAGAAGUAUGUGAUACUGUAUGUAAUACUUUAAACAAUAAAGAAUUUAAAAAAAACCUUCAAAGUGUUGAUUGUAAAGGAAGACCAAUAAAUAAAUGAGGAAAAAAAGUGUUUUUAAAAUUUUAAAAGUAUUAUGUUCCCAAUUGGAAGGCUCCUUUUGAUUUCAGUGACAGUGCAGGGAAUAUACUGAUAGGUUUAAAAUGAAACUGUACCAUAAAAAUGUAAACCUUAUCUAAAAAGCCCAAGUCAGCUUUGACCAACACCCACAAUUCUAGCCUUUACUUGAGGUAAUUGCAAUAAGGAAUUUGGUAUUUAUCUUUCUGAAUGGCUCACACAGCCUUUAAUUUUUAACACACAUUUUUAUUUAAAUGCUACUAUACUGCUGCACAGUAUCUCCUUGUAUGGGUAUUGUUAAAGAGCAAACCACAGGCCCCAAAUACCAUCACUUAUGCUAAAGCCAAUGACAAAAAACUUAGAUUUAAUACCUGACCUAUUGCUGUUUCAGUCCCUCUCAGAAAGGUAAUCUUUGUUAACCACUCCGAAAUUCUCUGGUCAAUGAGGUAAUGUGUGACCUGGGCCUACUCAUCCCCAACCCCCAUCUCCCAUUGAAAAAAGAGGCAAUUUGCAUAUAAAAAACUCUGGCUGUCCACCACUCCCCCAAAAUGUCUUGGUCUAAAAAUGAUCCUUUCUCUUCUUUUGUUAAUAGCUCCCUUUCUUAUUAAAACUGUCCCUUUUUGUAUAGCCCUUUGGAGAACUCUUCUACUUGCUCAAUGGAAUGCUGCUGGACUCAUGAAUUAUUUAAUACAGACAAUUAGACCUUCCAAUUUACUUGGCUAAACUUUGUUUUUUAAUAAUAUACACUUGUGCAUUUUAUUUUCCCCCUAUAGCUAAGCAUUUAGUUAUUGUUAUUUACUAUUGCUACUGUUAUUUUUUUUUUACAUGUAUAUGCAAGCUAUGGGCUUCUCUAUAUUCUCCCUUGUAUACAUAAGCAAAUGUUUAUCCUGAGUUGAUUGUAAGGGAAAAUACAAAUUAAAAAUAAGGCUUAAUUCUCCCUGUUGAAAAUAAGGGAAGAGACUUUACCCACCCCUGCCUCCUCCCCACCUUUUAUGAAAGUAUUUCACUUGAAACUUGUAGGUUCUCUCUUUAUGUAUGUAAAUUGGUUUGAAAGCUAAAUAAGCCUCUGCCAGCUUUCUCAAGGACCUUGAAUACAUGUCAGAAAAGGUCAAAGAGUUACUUAAAAAUGUAACAUCCUAUAUAAUAAAAGGGCAAUAUGCAAAUUGUCCCCUUGACCAGGAGUUCGACUGGAGUUCGACCAGGGCGCUGAGGAGGCCUGUCAACCACCCAAGGCCCCUCACCCUGGCCAUGCACAAAUUCGUGCACUGGGCCUCUAGUGUAAACAUAUUUGUGAUUCCCAGGCAAAGAUCAGUUGGUGAGAAGAAUGAGCUCCAUUUUCUGGACCAUGAGUACUAUUUAUUCCCAGAUCAAGUAUAAUUCUGUGCCUCUCAGAUCAAGUGUAAUUCUGUGCUAGCUUUUUUCCCUGCUAUUUAUAAAUGCAUGGAUCAUUCCUACCCAAGUUCAUAAUAAUGUGUAAGACAUUUUUUAUACCUCAUUUCACAUUAGCUUUGGAUUAUGUCACAAACACCUUUAAAUAUCCCUCUGAAAAAGAGAAGUUGUACCUUUCACAUGAUUAUCAUUAAGUUCCUUAACAAUAAAAGUAAAAGUAAACAGACAAAGUUUUCUAAGGCAUAAAAAUAUACCCCAUAUUACCUGGUAGAGCUACAUUAAUUCAAAACAAAGACAUCAGUCAAAAUAUUUAUUCUGUUCUUAAUUGGAUUGAAUGGUAAUACAAAUAUUGUGAGCCAGACGUACCUUCCUCAUGUAUUAUAUUUUAAAUGCCCAGAACUUUAUAUAAAA